rnacentral:lncRNA from 1 species
AGUAGGCCUGUCAGGGUAAAGUACAUGAAGGAUCCUGUAUGGAUGGGCACUUAGGAAGAUCAGGGUUCUCAACCAUCAGGAAGUAAGCGGAAGGUGCCAAAGGCGUUGCUGCUGGUGUGCAAGGAUAGCAAGACACCAGAGGAAAGGGUCAAAAGAUUUCAGUCUUUAAACCCAGAGCUGGCACUCCUAGCACUGUUCCUCAUCCUGGCCCCUGUCAGCUGCAGGUCAUCUCACUGUGGGUCAAGGACACCAGCCCUAAACCUGGGGGAAAAUCACAGAAAACUGCCUGGGCUCUAGAACAAUAGCCUAAGAGAGCCUGGCCUCUGUCCUGCCUUUCUGCCCCUUUUGUUCUGGUGUGGGGGUUGGGGGGGAUGGAGGCAGCUUAAGAAGGAUGUGGUAGUAGGACAAAGGGGUGUUCUUGCUACAACACUAUCCUAUCAAACUAAAAGUCUGGGGAGUCUGGCAGGACACAUAACUGCACACAGAAAAGAAAAAGACAGAAACUAAGGACAACCUGUAUUUCAUAGGCAGCCUCUACAAAGGAAUCUUCAAGAACUCCUAAAGAGAAAAAUGGAAAGGGCUUCUUGCAUUGCAUACCAGUCUGCCUAGUAUAAGAAAAGGCCCAAAAGGAGCCUCUGGGUACAAGUGACAGUGGGGAACUCACUUAAAGUUGAUGGCAUUGUGAUAGUGUUCAUGGAGACAGGUCAGAUUUAAAAAAGUAAUUGAAUGCAACACAGGAGAAAAAAGAUUAAAUCACAGUUUUUGUAUAUGCUGGAUGGCCCAACCCUCUCCUGGGAUGAAAUUCGUUGUGUGAAUUAAAUGCACAGAUAAUAUUCAUAAGGAUUGUUUCAGAAUAUGAAUUUAAAAGAGGUUUCAAAACUAGAAAAGAUAAAAGAACUUUACAGGAAUAGAUACAUAUUUUAGUAUGGAAAAUUAGAUGGUAAAAGAAAUGUUUCUGAAUGAGAAAGUAAUUUGUCUGGUAAAACAACAUUCUUGUGCUAAAGUCCAAGAUGAAUGAGGACAAAACUAAGGAUGUAAAGUUGUGAAUGUCUAAGUAAGUUGCAGAAAGUUUGGGGAAGGUAAAUCUCAAAAAACUUUGUAUAUGUGAUUAAAUUGGCUAUAAUUUAUCUAUCAAGAUAAUUUUCUUGUAUUUGUUAGGUUUUUUCGGGGAAAGGGGAAAUUAAGUCUUAAGGUAAUUAGGGUUUGUACCUGUUCGAAAGUCUGAAAUGAUUACUUUGUAACUGGUUAAACAAGCAACUGUUAUUUAAACCUACCAAUAUAUAUGACACCCUAAAUAUAUGUGACUGGGUUUAUGUAUGCGUCUGAAAACCAUAGCUGUCUAAACCUUGUGUACGUGUUUUGUAAAAGUUUAUAAAAUGAAUGUGUAUUGAAGUUUAAAGGCAAAAUAACCACUAAGUGCUCUCUUUUAUACAUUAUAUCUGAUAUUGAAGGGCAUGCUCUCAAUUGAAGACCUUUCUUAUAUAUGUUUGCUUUGAGUAAGUCAAUUUCUUAUCAUUGACCCUGUUUCCUAAAUGUAUAAGAGAUUUAAUGCUAUUGAUUUUGCUAACCCCUACAGACCUGUGAUUACUGUUACUAUACACUGUGGAUUCUAAAUUGCACUUUAAAAGUUACACUUAGUUAAAUGCAAAGCUUUGUCAAGUUGGUGUUCUACAAACUAAAAUUAUGUGUAACAAAAUCUCUGAUUUGUAUAAAAAUAACAAAUUUGGUUGGUAUUUAUUCAUGUCAUUUGAGGUUUUAUAGCUGGAUCAAGUAACCUGUUGUCAAUAAGUUAUAUAUACCAUUUGGUUUUACUCUUCACAAAGGAAUUGGAAUUUAAAUGCAUUUUUGGAAGCUAGUAAGGAGAGCCUGAUCUGUUUAAAUUGAAAUUG